UAGGGAAUCUUCCGCAAUGGACGCAAGUCUGACGGAGCAACGCCGCGUGAGUGAAGAAGGAUUUCGGUUCGUAAAACUCUGUUGUUAGAGAAGAACAGCGCAUAGAGUAACUGUUAUGCGUGUGACGGUAUCUAACCAGAAAGCCACGGCUAACUACGUGCCAGCAGCCGCGGUAAUACGUAGGUGGCAAGCGUUGUCCGUAUUUAUUGGGCGUAAAGCGAGCGCAGGCGGUCAAUUAAGUCUGAUGUGAAAGCCCCCGGCUCAACCGGGGAGGGUCAUUGGAAACUGGUUGACUUGAGUGCAGAAGAGGAGAGUGGAAUUCCAUGUGUAGCGGUGAAAUGCGUAGAUAUAUGGAGGAACACCGGUGGCGAAAGCGGCUCUCUGGUCUGUAACUGACGCUGAGGCUCGAAAGCGUGGGGAGCGAACAGG
rnacentral:rRNA from 1 species